UUGGGGCCCGCAGCCGCGGGAAAUUCAGCUCCAAAAGCGUAUAUUAAAGUUGUUGCAGUUAAAAAGCUCGUAGUUGAAUUUCGGGGUUAGUAGGUUGGUCAUGCCUCUGGUAUGUACUGGUCUCACUGAUUCCCCCUUCCUGAUAACCCGUAAUGCCUUUAAUUUGGUGUUGCGGGAAAUUUGAACUGUUCCUUUAAAAAAA
rnacentral:rRNA from 1 species